CCUCUGUGCCUCUUGCUCCCUGCCUCCAGAUGACCACCGGGUCCUACCGCCCGCAGGCUUCAAAGCUGCAGCUCAGCUAGGAAAUCCAUCAGAGCACGAGGGGAGGAGCCAGAGCGCUGCGUGAGUAGCCAGCAGCCAGGGCAAAGAAAAGGUAAUUAGGAGAACAGAAAACAUCAGCAAAGGCUUGUGGUGUGCGCUUCAUUCUCAGUUUGUGGAGCCACUGAAAUAUGACAUAAAACUACACAACAGAAAAAAAGAUGAAUGAUAGUUGUAAUAAAUUUGUAGAACUCUUGGACUUUUAAAGGAAGCAGGGCACAAUACAGAGUAUUAAAUAAUAACUGUGUUGAAGAUUCCAUAUGUUGCUACCCUGCAAGAGGUAUGAUGAUGAUGUGGUUUAAAUUUUUCAGAAGGGCAACAUGAUCUUACAUUCCAAACAACCUCAUACAAGGAAGUACAAUAUUCACCUAACACACUGAAGGAAACAAACAGUGCAACCAGACAUCUCAUUUACUAAGCUGCCACUGGGUGUGAAAUGUAACAUUUUUCCUCAGCAUCCCAGUGUAAGUGCACCAAAGAAACUUCCUUCCAUUUGAUAAAUUGCAAGUUGCAAGAUAGAGUAUAGGCAAUCCUGAGUAUGCAACACCAAUCUGUGCAAGGUAGCAAUAGCUAGUAGAAAAAACUAUAGGCACAAUAGGCAAAGGGAACCUGGAAUUAUUGUCUGGUCAAGGCACUGCAAUUUGUGCUGUAGUCUUUAGAGCAGAUGCUGCAAGUAUAUUGGCAUAUAUUCCUCAGAGUACUUGUCAUUUUGAGGAAUACAGCAAACAUUGUUCUUUGAAGAUUAGUAUAUUGGCAAACAGCACCAAGUAUUCUCUUUACUUAAUAGUGUUUUGACUGGCACAAUUAUGAGUUUGAAAAAUGUCUUAAAAUAAAAACGGGAAUACGAGAU